UCCCGCUUAGCUCAGUGGUAGAGCGCGUCACUAGUAAUGACGAGGUCACUUGUUCGAGUCAGGUAGUGGGAA